rnacentral:rRNA from 1 species
GCUUACGGCCACACCUCCCUGAGCACGCCCCGAUCUCGUCUGAUCUCGAAGCUAAGCAGGGUCGGGCCCGGUUCGUACUGGAUGGGAGACGCCUGGGAAUACCAGGUGCUGUAAGCC